GGUCAGCGUGGUAGUGGCGGUAACAGUAAGGAGAAGCUGGUGGAGGAGAAGAAGGGACCUGGAAGUGUCUCGAGUGUUUCAGUGAAAGUGAAAGAGGAGAAACUAAAGAUAGAGAAGGAAGUGAAAACGGCGGCGAGUCAAGUUUUGGUGACUGGCCGAGUUCUGUGACUCAGUCUGGUUCCGGGAGCAGUCGGAGAUUGAGACAUUCUUUGGGCUUUUAUUUUGUAAUUUGCAUUUGUAUAUCAUCUGUAUCUUAUUCAAAUCACCUGGGGAGUAAAGUCAGACAACUAGAGGUUCUAGAGGCAUUCCUUGGUCCAGGUUCUGAACUCUGGAUGUUCAAUGAGCUCCCAGAAAAAGAAAGGGAAA